UACGAAGGGGGCUAGCGUUGUUCGGAAUCACUGGGCGUAAAGGGCGCGUAGGCGGCCGAUCAAGUCGGGGGUGAAAGCCUGUGGCUCAACCACAGAAUUGCCUUCGAUACUGUUUGGCUUGAGACCGGAAGAGGUUAGUGGAACUGCGAGUGUAGAGGUGAAAUUCGUAGAUAUUCGCAAGAACACCAGUGGCGAAGGCGGCUCACUGGCCCGGUACUGACGCUGAGGUGCGAAAGCGUGGGGAGCAAACAGG
rnacentral:rRNA from 1 species